AAGAAUAGUUAUAUACUUAAUAUUUGAAAAUCAAAGAUAUUUUUUCUAAAAUUGUACUUAGUACGUACCUAGCCAAGGAGAUCAACCAUCUUUUUACGUAUCGAUCGAUUGUUGAGCAUGUGGUCGAUCCGAAAAUACUCUGCAGUUUAAUUAAAUAUCUAAAACAUUUAUUCCAACACUAAACAGAUAGUUUUGCUAAAUAUGAUAACUAGAUAGCCAACAAAAUUACAAAAAAAUAUUUAAAUAGUAAAAAAUAUGUUAAUUUAACGUGUUAAAAUUUAAAAAUAAAUUUUAAUUAUGACAUGCAUCUUAACAUUUAUAUAAAUAUAUAUCAUAACCUAAAUAUAAAUAAUUUAACAACUUAAAUUAGAAAAAAAUAAAAAUUCCAAGCUACCUAGUCUAUCUAUCUAUCUAUCUAUAACAAUAAAGUUGAGUUUGCUCUCUUUUCUUUGCGCCACGUCACCACCGAGAGGGAAUGACAAAUCCCAACACGUGUCACUUAAAAAUCUUACGAUUGAUUUUCAUAUUGUUGCUUCGUGGGUUUGCUGUUCUGUGUUUUGUUUAUUUUAUAGAUGGUUUGCCUUUGGGCUUUUAAAAAACUUUAGGCCCAGUUAAAUGAAAGGUUUUCAUCAUCUUUGAACUUCGACGACAGCUGUCUGUUUCAGAUAAUGACGCCGUCGAUGAACUUAUGUAACGUCUUCAACUUUCAUCAAUAUGUAGUUAAACCCGAGAUUUAACCACGUAUUAAUGUAAGCUCCCAGCGAUGAACAACACAACCUCAACGAAAUUGAAAAGAGUAGUCUUUGCUGAUUACCAACUCCGUCAAUGGCGAAUCCCUUCAUCAUGCUUGCCGUUUUGAAAUAUGGCCGCUGCUCCGCCUCUCAAACACUGCCGAGGUACGUUUGCUGGAUCAAGAUCGAACCAAGCUGAGAGCGAUUCAACGGAGUUUGAAGUUUGGAAGUGACAAAGAGUUCGAAUCGAGAUCAAACCAAGCCGAGAGAAACCACCUCCGAUGGAGCUUCGCCGAGAGACUACCACGGAGAUGUGUCGAUGUGGCGCUAACCGAUCUUGAUGGCGUCGAGGACCGUCUGUUUCAGCAACAACUGUUCCGGCGGUUCCAAAACCUAGAACCGGCAAUAGGUGAUGAUCAGAUCCGAUUGAGAGGUUGGGGACUGGCACUGUGAUCAGAGAGAAUGAUUGCGAAAAGGUUCAAAAAGGUCUGAGAGAAAGUUUGUUCCUAUAGAAUCGUUUAUCAACGGCCCAAUUUACACCGAGUAGCCAUCGUGACUGAUACUAUUAUUAAUAUACUCAUUCUAUUUCUUUUAAUUUUUUUUUAAAAAAUAUGGAUCCAAACAAUGGUUUGGUUUGGUUCAUAUAUAGUCUAAUGUUCAGUGUUCAGUGUUCAGUGUUCAGUGUUCAGUGUUCAGUGUUCAGCGUGUGCUGCUGUGAAAAUUUUGAGUCUUGCUUCAGUGUGUGCUGCUGUGUUUUUCCUUUCGCUUCUUCCGAUGCAGACGCUUCUGUUAAAUCUACAGACUUUGGCAUCUCUGUUUUCUGCAAACCAGCAAUGGCAAGGCCUGGUGGAGAUGCUGCCUUUCUGGGUUCCGAUUCACAGUUCUCUUGUAGUCUUUGAUUUUCUUAACUAUUAAACAUAUAUCUCUUCUGUUUCUUUUUCUAAUGUUUUGGUUUUGUAAUAUCUGUACUAAAAUCAUGGGACAAAUCUAUUGACAGAAACAAGUCAGAGAUCUCCAACCCCAUUACAAAACUCACUUUUAAGUGUCUAGUUUGUCAAUUAUUUUAAAAAUGGAACUAGAUUUUGACCCGCA